UCCAUAAUAAUAUAUACAAAAUAACAAUACAUAAGAUAUCUAUAUAUACAUAUAUAUCGAAUCGCCAGUCCUCGGCGAAGGAUUGACGGAGCGCGUGCUAGUCAGCUUAUCGCUAUAGCUUAUCUCGAUUAUUGUGGCUGCUGUUCUAACCUCGUCCUGCUUUUCAGCAUUUCCACAUCGUUCCGAUGUGGUACACUAAUCGUUCUGCUUGUAUAUUUCAGGUUCUCACCAUACAUUUCCCCGUGUUAUGUUUUUAUUUAUCCGCUAUGUUUCGGUGGAACUGUCUCCCAUGCCAUUGGUUGCCCAUCAAGAAUAUUAUUGUGGCAAGGGCACAGGAAUUGGAAUAACUGUUUAUUCAGGUUCUAGAGCUAGAACAGAGAGAGCAAUGGAACGAACGAGACACGAUGAUAACGAUAGCACCUCUUCUGUCUCACAAUAUCAACGAUUCAGAGCUUUUAUUUAUUGAGAUAUAUAUUUAACCACAGGAAGUACCUGGGACCAGAGGAAGAAGAAACUCGCUUAAAUCGUUUUUAUAAUUGAUAAUGAUGAGAAGGUUAGAUAUGGGUGUGGUGUUCCUUUUUGGUUUUUCUUUUUCGUCUUAGAGAGUGAUGGUUCCAUCAGCCCAUGGUCUCGGAAGACACCUGACUAUGCAGUGCAGCUGUUGGUUCUAUAACAUCAACAGAUGUGGUGAUAUUUUUAUCUUUCUUUCGUAAGAUUAGAUGGCAGCCAAGAUUCUAUACUGAAACGGCUGAGGCUUCUGGAAGAAAAUGAUUGCUGCAUCUUUAGGAUAGGUUGAACUCUCAUGCAAUUGGUUGCCCAUCAAGAGCAAUAUUGUGGCAAGGACGCAGAGAUAGGAGGAACUGAUUAUUGAGAUCAUAGAGUAUAUAGAAGCGAAGAGACCAAGGGAACAAAUGAGAUGACUACCAGGAUAGCAGCUCUUCUGUCUCAGAAUAUCAACGAUUCAGAGCUUUUAUUUAUUGAGAGAUACAUUCAACCACAGGAAGUACUUGGGACCAGAGGAAGAAGAAACUCGCUUAGAAAAUCAUUUUCAAAUUGAUUACGAUAAGUAGGUUAGAUAUCAGUGCGGUGUUCUUCUGUGGUUUUUCUUUUUUGUCUUCCAGAGUGACAGUUCCACCACGAGCAACCUGCAUAGGCCCAUAGUCUCUGAAGAUCCCUGCCAGCUCUGGAAUGCAGCCUCAACAGAUGUGGUGAUAUUUUUACCUUUCUUUCGUAAGAUUAGAAGGCAGCAAAGAUUCUAUACUGAAACGGCUCUGAGGCUUCUGGAAGAAAAUGAUUGCUGCAUCUGCUGGAUAGGUUGAACUCCCAUGCAAUUGGUUGCCCAUCACGAGCAAUAUUGUGGCAAGGACACAGAUCGGAGGAACUGUUCAUUGAGAUCAUAGAGUAGCUAGAAGCGAAGGGACCAAUGGAACAAACGAGAGAUGACGACCACGAUAGCACCUAUUCUGUCUCACAAUAUCAACGAUUCCGAGCUUUUAUUUAUUGAGAUAUAUAUUUAACCACAGGAAGUACCUGGGACCAGAGGAAGAAGAAACUUGCUUAAAUAAUUUUUAUAAUUGAUAAUGAUAAGGUGGUUAGAUAUGGGUGUGGUGUUCCUUUUUGGUUUUUCUUUUUCGUCUUCCAGAGUGAUGGUUCCACCAGCCCAUGGUCUUAGAAGAUACCGGACUAUGGAGUGCAGCUGUUAGUUCUAUAACAUCAACAGAUGUGGUGAUAUAUUUACCUUUCUUUCGUAAGAUUAGAAGGCAACCAAGAUUCUUUACUGAAACGCCUCUGAGGCUUCUGGAAGAAAAUGCUCCAUGGAAGAAAAUGAUUGCUGCAUCUUUAGGAUAGGUUGAACUCUCACGCAAUUGGUUGCCCAUCACGAGCAAUAUUGUGGCAAGGACACAGAGAUCGGAGGAACUGUUUAUUGAGAUCGAGUAGCUAGAAGAAGCGAUCAAGGAAACAAACGAGAUAUGACGACCACGCAAGCACCUGUCUCCCAAUAUCAACGAUUCAGAGCUUUUAGUGAGAUAUAUUCAACCACAGGAAGUACUUGGGACCAGAGGAAGAAACUCGCUUAAGAAAUUAUUUUUAGAAUUGAUUGCGAUAAGUAGGUUAGAUAUGAGUGUGGUGUUCUUCUGUGGUUUUUCUUUUUUGUCUCCGAGAGUGACUGUUUCACCACGGACAACAUGCAUAGGCCCAUAGUCUCUGAAGAUCCCUGCCAGCUCUGGAACGCAGCCUCAACAGAUAUUUUUUUCUUUUCUUCCGUAAGAUCAACGAUUCAGAGCUUUUAUUUAUUGAGAUAUAUUCAACCACAGGAAGUACUUGGGACCAGAGGAAGAAACUCGCUUAAAUCAUUUUUAUAAUCAUUGAUAUAUCAUUGAUUCAUAUUCAUUGAUUCAUAUAAUCAUUGAUAAUGAUGAGUAGGUUACAUUUGAGUGUGGUGUUCCAACUCUGCGGCAUUGACAGAUGUGGCGAUAUUGUUUCAUACAUCUAGAAGACUGGCAAAACAGGGCAGACUGCUCUGCAUAAUUUCCGCCAGAAGAAUGAUCACUUAGUGAAUAGCAAUGAUGAACAACAUAAAAUAAGGCGAGCUAGCUGGCGUGUAGAUGAAAUAGGCAUCAUUUUCUCGAGCCUGAAAAGCAAAGGGCACUGACGGAACGAACUGGACACUGGGAAUGAAUGGAUUGAACUGACCAUUGAGGGCAAUUUUAUGGCUGCCACUUCACAGUUCAUAGAUGAAUGAGCAUUCUUGAAGGCUGGGCAUUUUAAAAUGCUUUUUGUUUCGCUGUUCCUUUCUCACCUUUUUCUAUUUCAGAAGCAGAUACAACCGGGGCGAUAUCAAGCAUGUCUAGCAUCUUCCCUGCUACGCUUAACUGCCCUUGGAAGCUUUGGACACAGGGGCGACUAGCUCGGACUUCCCAGGGCAAAUCGAAGUAUCUCUGUGGGAGUGCAGCCAAAGGAGACAGUGCGACUUUGGCCUGUUCACGUGCGCUGCCCUCACCCCUGCAGUCACCCCUCAAACGAGAUGAACGGAGGGAGCUCUGGCGCGUGUCACAGGUGUCAACAGCGGAAGCCUGCUUACGGUACCCUUGCAGGUCCUUGCGAAGAGCCACGAGCUACCAAACUGUGUGAACUGUGCAGCUACCAAGUGUGGACCUCCGGUGAACAUGUACUUCUGGAUAUUGUCUUUGUGCUUCAAGCACCUUCAGUCAGCAACUACGUGUCAUCCCACAGGGCAUAACGCCCAGGGCUUAGCACCCUAUGGACAACAUAUUGUUAGAUAUUAUUGUGUAGCUCAGGUUUAUUGUGUGUGUGACAAGUACGCAAUUGUUUUGUAUCAUGAACAAACUGACCAGCAGAGACUGGGAGGUAUGGGGCAUUGCUCUGUACCGGCUGCACCUUCUGCAGGUUUUCCUGGGUUUUCCUCGCCGACAGACAAAUGUGGGUGCAGUUCCCAUGAAGUCGGCCCAGGACGCACUUCCCCCCCCCCCCAUGGCGGCACCGAAUGCCACUACUUCCAUCCUUGGACGAAAUCCUGCUUCAAAUAUUGCUAACGCAUCUUUUGCGUUCCCUUUAAGCUUCACUGCAACAUGGCUCGUCUUCGCGCAGAUGACAUUUGACCAUUUUGUAUGUUGCAUGGAUGUUAAUGUGUGUGCAUGUCACGUGCACAAGCUGUACAUACCAAACCAGGACCUACACCAAGUUCAAGUCAGGAAACAAACAAACGCAUCAUUACUUUUAGCCAGUACAAAUUUGUUUAAUCAUCAAUUCAACUCAAAGAUCCUGGUAUGGUAUUGCAACAUGCACGUGCCUGUGUGUGCAUGUGCGUACGUACGCAAAUGUUGAUGUGUCUGUUUUUAACGCUACUAAACUUCAGUGGUUGAAUGUCAUUUGCCGGGCGGACUUUGCUGCAGUGAAGCCAUUAUUCGGUUUGGUUAUUUCAAAUGGUCAGGUUGGAUCCGCCUGGUUAUUUGAGAAGAAAUUUUAAAAUUAUACCCUUGGGUGCGGUGUGUGCCUUCAGAUACACCAUUAUUGAUAUGGUUAAAUGUGAAAGGAGUUUUCUGAUACUGAAUAGUUGAUUGUGAGUAUUUAUGAUGUGCAUUUUGUACAUGCUGGUGCUAUCUGAUUAUUGCAUGAUAUUUUUGCGUAUUAAAUAGUUCAUUUUGUAUGUGCUGAG